GUGUCUGACAGUGCAUGUGUUGGAGUGCGCAUGCGCGGCUGACAGUGCAUCUGGCUGCAGAUAGACCCUUCUCGGUUUGGCGGCACACAGACGGAGGCGCGCAAUUGGAGACUGACAUAAUAAAAAUUGCUGCUCAAACUGUGAUUUUAGGCAAAUUGUCUGCUUAUUAAUGUACCAAGUUAAAGCAAACUUUAUAGUUUUGUAUAUAUCUGCAAAUAAAAAUAGUGUUAGUGAGAACGGAACUAAAUUGGCUUUGGCCAAUAAGCAGAGGAGCGCCACUUCAGGUGACGCGCUUGAUACGUCGUCAUGGAAACCAAAACAACAGGUACGUCACAGCUUCAGUCAGAUCGUCAGCUUUAGGAUUGUUUCUGCACAAGUUUGACGAUGUCUUCGUACAAAGCACCUAAGAGAAGUCUCACACGAAGGUUUUGUGGAGCACACGGUGUUGUUGUGACAGCCGCCAUGUGUUCGGAGUCCGUGUGUGUGUGCCCCGCCCUCCUCGUUGUCCUCCCAUCACCUCACAGCUAAUCCUUCCACACCGGUUUCCUAUCUUGCUGUCUUGUGGAUUACUUGUGGAUUGUGUCUCGCUUGCCGAGUACUGACUACCCGGAGUCUCGCACCCCUUUUUCCCACGGCUGCCUCUGUCUCCCCGUGGGCCGUUUCCCUCCGGCUCUUACUAUCUGCCCAGUGCCCCUCUGCCGUCCCUCUCACCUCUCCCCGGCUGAAUGCUCGAGCCUGUUGAACCUUUUCCGCUUUGCCUGGUAUUUCUGUCUUUGCCUGGUGUUUCUUUGAUCUGUACUGAGCUGUUAAUAAAUACCUUUCAUUUUGAACUCUGCAUCUGACUCCUGAGUUUCUACCCUAACAGUCUGAUGAGACUGACUGAACCGACUCUUUUUACAAACAUGCCAGUGACAUGUGAGGACAGAGAUCUUUCAGGUUUUUAAAGAAGGAAGCGACAAAAUUGCCUUUGGAGACAACAAAAUCUCAUUGGCGGUACAGUAUGCAUUUAAAUGAUUGACUUUGUCAAAACUCUGUGUCACUAAACUUCCUCUAGCAUCAAGAUUUUUUUCUCAACUGAUGUUAAACUCUUGUCAUUGUAUUUUGUUUUUACUCAACAUCUGCCUUGUCACUGGGUUUUUACACAUUUUGUCACGACCCAGGUUGGGUUGGGGCAUUUGUCUGCACGUGGGUGUAUUGUCUUUGUCAGUGUCUGCGUCAUUAUCCCCGCCCCCGUGUUUCCUUAGGUUUCCCCAACACGGGUGAUUUUCUACUCCAUGCUCACACACCUGUUUAUUCCUCAUUAAGCUUAUUACCCAUUGCACCUGCUAGCCAUCUCCUCUUGUUAUGUUUUCCUAUUUAAUGCCUCAGUGUCUCUUGUCCGUUGUCUGAUUGUUGCAUUCUGCCAGUUCAGACUGAUCUAGGUGUUGCUGCGACUCAUCUAUAGAAGUCUUUUGUAAAUCUGUCUAGCCUUUACGUUCCUUUCACAGUUUCCUAGAGUUCUCUCCACCCUUCCGCAUCUCGCUGACCGAGGACGGCCGUCUGGUGGCAUCUUCCUGUUGUGUUUUACCUCUUCUGGCAUUGUCCUCCAGCUCCCGUUGGCGCCCCAUAGGACUACUGCCCGGCUUCCAACCGAUCACCCCACCCGAGUUAAAGGUGUCUCUCCCACCAUAGCUGCUGGGAUCUGGUGCUCUAUAUUCUGGCCGCCGUGGACGGGGGCAUUCACCAGCUGGACAAUUGCUGCAUUAUUGACUUACACUGCAAA